GAUCAAGGACAACAACCACCCGAGCCACUGCCUGUUCAUCCCACUACCAUCCAGAAGGCGAGCUGACUUGUUUUACUGAUUCUACUUCAGCCUGUUGAGUUAUGCUGCCACUACGACUUGGACAAACACAUCAUCGCUGCCUGGGAACACAAACAGGACCUGAGCCCUAGGACCAUGCCUCAGGACUACCUGGCCUGAUGACUCCUUGCUGUCC